GAUCUCUGGAUCUAGACAGCACGACAGUGGCCAUGGAAGUCGGAAUCCACUAAGGAGUGUGUAACAACUCACCUGCUGAAUCAGCUAGCCCUGGAAAUGGAUGGCACUGGAG